GACGAACGCUGGCGGCGUGCCUAAUACAUGCAAGUAGAACGCUGAAGGAGGAGCUUGCUUCUCUGGAUGAGUUGCGAACGGGUGAGUAACGCGUAGGUAACCUGCCUGGUAGCGGGGGAUAACUAUUGGAAACGAUAGCUAAUACCGCAUAAGAGUAGAUGUUGCAUGACAUUUGCUUAAAAGGUGCAAUUGCAUCACUACCAGAUGGACCUGCGUUGUAUUAGCUAGUUGGUGAGGUAACGGCUCACCAAGGCGACGAUACAUAGCCGACCUGAGAGGGUGGUCGGCCAGACUGGGACUGAGACACGGCCCAGACUCCUACGGGAGGCAGCAGUAGGGAAUCUUCGGCAAUGGACGGAAGUCUGACCGAGCAACGCCGCGUGAGUGAAGAAGGUUUUCGGAUCGUAAAGCUCUGUUGUAAGAGAAGAACGAGUGUGAGAGUGGAAAGUUCACACUGUGACGGUAUCUUACCAGAAAGGGACGGCUAACUACGUG
rnacentral:rRNA from 1 species